GAUCCUGGCUCAGGAUGAACGCUAGUCGGCGCUGCCCUAAUGCAUGCAAGUCGAACGGGAUUUACUGACUCUCGUGAUUGGUAAUGAGGAGUGGCGAACGGGUGAUGUAAGCACGUAGGUGACCUGCCCUCGUGGAGGGGGACAACCAGCUGGACAACGCUGGCUAAUACCCCGGAUGUCAAUCUAGAUUACGAGACGAGAUUGACUAAAGCUCCGGUGCCCGAGGAGGGGCCUGCGACCCAUCAGCUAGUUGGUANGGUAAAAGCCUACCAAGGCAAAUGACGGGUAGGGGGCGUGAGAGCUGUGGCCCCCCACACUGGUACUGACACACGGACCAGAUACCUACGGGUAGCAGCAGCAAGGAAUAUUGCGCAAUGGGGGAAACCCUGACGCAGCAACGCCGCGUGGAGNAUGAAGGCCUUCGGGUUGUAAACUCCUUUUCUGGGGGAAGAGAGCUGGACGGUACCCCAGUGAAUAAGGCCCGGCUAACUACGUGCCAUGCAGCCGCGGCUAAAACGUAGGGUCGAGCGUUAUCCGGAAUUACUGGGCGUAAAUGNNACGAGUAGGCGGUCACGAAAGUUGGACGUGAAAGCUCCUGGCUCAACUGGGAGAGGUCGUUCAAAAUUAGGUGACUAGAGGAUGGUAGAGGCGAGUGGAAUCCCCGGUGUAUUGGUGAAAUGGUAGAUUCGGGAGGAACACCAGUGGCGAAAGGCGGCUCGCGUGGGGCCAUNACUGACGCUGUGGCGCGAAAGCCAGGGGGAGAGAACGGGGAUUAGAAACCCCCCGNUAUUCCUGGCCCGUAAACGAUGUCAACUAAGUGUAGAGAAUCGUAAAGAUUAGCUGUGCUGAAGCAAACGCGAUAAGUUGACCGCCUGGGGAGUACGGCCGCAAGGCUAAACUCAAAGGAAUUGACGGGGGCCCGCACAAGCAGCGGAGCGUGUGGUUUAAUUCGAGGCUACGCGAAGAACCUUACCAGGGUUUGACAUGUACGUGGUAGGUGUUGGAAACAACACUGACCCUUCGGGGAGCGUACACAGGUGCUGCAUGGCUGUCGUCAGCUCGUGCCGUGAGGUGUUAGGUUAAGUCCUGUAACGAGCGCAACCCUCGUCGUUAGUUACAAGUGUCUAACGAGACUGCCGGUGAUAAGCCGGAGGAAGGUGGGGAUGACGUCAAGUCAGCAUGGCCUAUAUAUCCUGGGCUACACACACGCUACAAUGGCCGGUACAAUGGGCAGCGAAAUCGCGAGAUGGAGCCAAUCCUGGAAAGCCGGUCUCAGUUCGGAUUGCAGGCUGCAACUCGCCUGCAUGAAGUCGGAGUUGCUAGUAAACGCGCGUCAGCCACAGUGCGUUGAAUACGUUCCCGGGCCUUGUACACACCGCCCGUCACGUCAUGGAAGUUGGCAACGCCUGAAGUCGGUAGGCUAACCCUAACGGGAGGCAGCCGCCUAAGGCGGGGUCGGUAACUGGGACGAAGUCGUACAAGGUAGCUGUAGCGGAAGCUGCGGCUGGAUCACCUCCUUA
rnacentral:rRNA from 1 species